CCUACGGGAGGCAGCAGUAGGGAAUUUUGCGCAAUGGGCGAAAGCCUGACGCAGCAACACCGCGUGAAUGUUAAGCCCUUCGGGGUGUUAAGUUCUGUCCAUAGGGACGAAUUUUGACUGUACCUAUAAAGGCAGCAACGGCUAACUCCGUGCCAGCAGCCGCGGUAAUACGGGGGGUGCACGCGUUGUCCGGAAUCAUUGGGCGUAAAGCGUUAGUAGGCGGCAAGGUAAGUCUGAUGUUAAAGCCCGGGGCUCAACUUCGGUUCGGCAUUGGAUACUAGCUAGCUAGACUGUGGUAGAGGGAAAGAGAAUUCCUGGUGUAGCGGUGAAAUGCGUAGAGAUCAGGAGGAACAUCGGUGGCGAAAGCGCUUUACUGGACCAAUAUUGACGCUGAGGAGCGAAAGCCAGGGGAGCAAAUGGGAUUAGAUACCCGAGUAGUC
rnacentral:rRNA from 1 species